rnacentral:rRNA from 1 species
UGACGAGUUUGAUCCUGGCUCAGGAUGAACGCUAGCGGCAGGCUUAACACAUGCAAGUCGAGGGGUAGAAGCAGCUUGCUGCUUUGAGACCGGCGCACGGGUGCGUAACGCGUAUACAAUCUACCUUUUACAGAGGGAUAGCCCAGAGAAAUUUGGAUUAAUACCUCAUAGUAUUUUCGAAUCGCAUGGUUUGAUUAUUAAAGUUCCAACGGUAAAAGAUGAGCAUGCGUCCCAUUAGUUAGUUGGUAAGGUAACGGCUUACCAAGACAAUGAUGGGUAGGGGUCCUGAGAGGGAGAUCCCCCGACACUGGUACUGAGACACGGACCAGACUCCGUACGGGAGGCAGCAGUGAGGAAUAUUGGUCAAUGGGCGCAAGCCUGAACCAGCCCAUGCCGCGUGCAGGAUGACGGUCCUAU